CCCUUAGAUGUUCUGGGCAGCACGCGCGCUACAAUGGUCUUCGCAAACGGAUGCAUUCUCGAAGGAGAAUGCCAAUCUUGGAAUCUAUGCCUUGGUCGGGACAGUUGCUUGCAAUUUUUCGACUCGAACCAGGAAUUCCUUGUAAUCGUGAUUCAUCACAUCACGAUGAAUACGUCCCUGCCCUUUGUACACACCGCUCGUCGCUCCUACCGAUCGAAGAGUUAGGUGAAUUGUUUUGAUCGAUAAGAUUUGACUAUGGUCAACUCUCGUUGUGAAAUUCUGUGAAUCUGACUGUUUAGAGGAAGGAAAAGUCGUAACA
rnacentral:rRNA from 1 species